GGCCACAGCUCAGUGGCAGGGCAUCUGCCUUGAAUGCAUAAGGUCCCAGGUUCAGUCCCCAGCAUCUCCA